rnacentral:rRNA from 1 species
CAAUAGCGUAUAUUUAAGUUGUUGCAGUUAAAAAGCUCGUAGUUGGAUUUCGGGUGGGACGCAGCGGUCUCGCAUUGCGUUUGUACUGCUGCAGCCCUCCUUCUUGCCGGGGGCGGCCUCUCGGACUUCACUGUCUGGGGGUCAGAAUCGGCGAUGUUACUUUGAGUAAAUUAGAGUGUUCAAAGCAAGCUUACGCUCUGAAUAUAAUAGCAUGGGAUAACACGACAGGACUCUGGCCUAUCGUGUUGGUCUAUAGGACCAGAGUAAUGAUUAAGAGGGACAGUCGGGGGCAUUCGUAUUCCGUUGUCAGAGGUGAAAUUCUUGGAUUUACGGAAGACGAACAUCUGCGAAAGCAUUUGCCAAGGAUGUNUUCAUUGA